rnacentral:tRNA from 1 species
GAGGGGUGGCAGAAACAUAAUGCUUUAGGCCUAAGACCUAACAAUGAGACCUAACUCCCCCUCU